rnacentral:rRNA from 1 species
GAUGAACGCUGGCGGCGUGCCUAAUACAUGCAAGUCGAGCGAACAGAUGAGGAGCUUGCUCCUCUGACGUUAGCGGCGGACGGGUGAGUAACACGUGGAUAACCUACCUAUAAGACUGGGAUAACUUCGGGAAACCGGAGCUAAUACCGGAUAAUAUAUUGAACCGCAUGGUUCAAUAGUGAAAGACGGUUUUGCUGUCACUUAUAGAUGGAUCCGCGCCGCAUUAGCUAGUUGGUAAGGUAACGGCUUACCAAGGCGACGAUGCGUAGCCGACCUGAGAGGGUGAGCGGCCCCACUGGAACUGAGACACGGUCCCGACUCCUACGGGAGGCAGCAGUAGGGAAUCUUCCGCAAUGGGCGAAAGCCUGACGGAGCAACGCCGCGUGAGUGAUGAAGGUCUUCGGAUCGUAAAACUCUGUUAUUAGGGAAGAACAAAUGUGUAAGUAACUAUGCACGUCUUGACGGUACCUAAUCAGAAAGCCACGGCUAGCUACGUG